rnacentral:rRNA from 1 species
GAUGAACGCUGGCGGCGUGCCUAAUACAUGCAAGUCGAGCGAACAGACGAGGAGCUUGCUCCUCUGACGUUAGCGGCGGACGGGUGAGUAACACGUGGAUAACCUACCUAUAAGACUGGGAUAACUUCGGGAAACCGGAGCUAAUACCGGAUAAUAUAUUGAACCGCAUGGUUCAAUAGUGAAAGACGGUUUUGCUGUCACUUAUAGAUGGAUCCGCGCCGCAUUAGCUAGUUGGUAAGGUAACGGCUUACCAAGGCAACGAUGCGUAGCCGACCUGAGAGGGUGAUCGGCCACACGGGAACGGAGACACGGUCCAGACUCCUACGGGAGGCAGCAGUAGGGAAUCUUCCGCAAUGGGCGAAAGCUUGACGGAGCAACGCCGCGUGAGUGAUGAAGGUCUUCGGAUCGUAAAACUCUGUUAUUAGGGAAGAACAAAUGUGUAAGUAACUAUGCACGUCUUGACGGUACCUAAUCAGAAAGCCACGGCUAACUACGUG